rnacentral:rRNA from 1 species
AGCGAACGCUGGCGGCAGGCCUAACACAUGCAAGUCGAACGAAGUCUUCGGACUUAGUGGCGGACGGGUGAGUAACACGUGGGAACGUACCUUUUGGUUCGGAACAACUCAGGGAAACUUGAGCUAAUACCGGAUGAGCCCUUAGGGGGAAAGAUUUAUCGCCGAAAGAGCGGCCCGCGUUAGAUUAGCUAGUUGGUGAGGUAAAGGCUCACCAAGGCUACGAUCUAUAGCUGGUCUGAGAGGAUGAUCAGCCACACUGGGACUGAGACACGGCCCAGACUCCUACGGGAGGCAGCAGUGGGGAAUCUUGCGCAAUGGGCGAAAGCCUGACGCAGCCAUGCCGCGUGAAUGAUGAAGGUCUUAGGAUUGUAAAAUUCUUUUACCAGGGACGAUAAUGACGGUACCUGGAGAAAAAGCCCCGGCUAACUUCGUGCCAGCCGCCGCCGUAAUAC